rnacentral:rRNA from 1 species
GACGAACGCUGGCGGCGCGCCUAACACAUGCAAGUCGAACGAGCGAGAGAGAGCUUGCUUUCUCGAGCGAGUGGCGAACGGGUGAGUAACGCGUGAGGAACCUGCCUCAAAGAGGGGGACAACAGUUGGAAACGACUGCUAAUACCGCAUAAGCCCACGACCCGGCAUCGGGUAGAGGGAAAAGGAGCAAUCCGCUUUGAGAUGGCCUCGCGUCCGAUUAGCUAGUUGGUGAGGUAACGGCCCACCAAGGCGACGAUCGGUAGCCGGACUGAGAGGGUGAACGGGCACAUUGGGACUGAGGCACGGCCCAGACUCCUACGGGAGGCAGCAGUGGGGAAUAUUGCACAAUGGGGGAAACCCUGAUGCAGCGACGCCGCGUGGAGGAAGAAGGUCUUCGGAUUGUAAACUCCUGUUGUUGAGGAAGAUAAUGACGGUACUCAACAAGGAAGUGACGGCUAACUACGUG